rnacentral:miRNA from 1 species
UCACCGGGUGGGCAUUGGUUCU